UCGCAUUGUUCGGUUUCACUCCUCCUCCCAGAAACCGGACACGAAGCGCGAUACUCCUCCUCCCAAUCGCGCUUUACCAAUCAGCCCGUUGCGCACUCCUCCUCCCAGCGCAACGGGCUUUUU
rfam:Ochrobactrum sp. P6BS-III NODE_9_length_207324_cov_36.2278, whole genome shotgun sequence.